rnacentral:rRNA from 1 species
GACGAACGCUGGCGGUGUGCUUAACACAUGCAAGUCGAACGGUAAGGCCCUUUCGGGGGUACACGAGUGGCGAACGGGUGAGUAACACGUGAGUAACCUGCCCUCAUCUCUGGGAUAACAGUCGGAAACGGUUGCUAAUACUGGAUAUGAGCUUGCAAGGCAUCUUGUGGGUUGGAAAGAUUUUUUUGGUUGGGGAUGGACUCGCGGCCUAUCAGCUUGUUGGUGAGGUAGUGGCUCACCAAGGCUUCGAGGGGUAGCCGGCCUGAGGGCGACCGGCCACAUUGGGACUGAGAUACGGCCCAAACUCCUACGGGAGGCAGCAGUGGGGAAGAUUGCACAAUGGACGGAAGUCUGAUGCAGCAACGCCGCGUGCGGGAUGACGGCCUUCGGGUUGUAAACCGCUUUCAAUUGUGACGAAGCUUUUUGUGACGGUAGCAGUAGAAGAAGCACCGGCUAACUACGUG